GGGCCCUUAUUUAAACCCUGAACUGGCUUCUCUCUUACCAGUUCAUAGGUCUCCAUAACUGCUGGACUCCCGGUCUAUGUUCCUGAGUUCCAGGUUCCAGUCUGAUCCUGAUCCUGGGCUCUCUCCCAUGCUGGUAUUACCCAGUUCAGUAUUACACAUUGGUAGGAGUGUUCUUCCCUGAUGGAGAUUGGAUAUAGCCAAUGAACAGCUAACAGCACCUAGAGAGGUCACCUGACCUGAAGUUUCUUUUCUGUAAUUGGGACAGGGUUGGAUUUGGCCAGCAGGACACCAGCACUUCCUGUUUCUUGAUGGUCAGCGGAUCGGGUUGCGGAUAAGGUACUUGCAGGUCCAAACGGAUACUCAAGACCAAAACUGCUUAUAAAGAGAGCGCGGAGGAUGACUUAUGAUUUUGUCCUAUCCCCAGUAAACCCCCUGCCAAGAAACUGCACAUGGUACUUGUUGUUCUCUGCACUGCUGGUGCCGACUACACAGACCAUUAUGGGGAAUGGAGCCUUGGUUGCAGGAUAUCCAACUGCUGUUAAUUAAGGGUCAAGAGCAAGACUGAUCACCAAGUAGAAAAUAGCCAUUUAAUGGCGAGUUCACCAAAUUAACGAGCAAGGCUGAUUGAUCGUAAUGAAGUUGUGCUCAGGGAGAGCAAUAAUGAAACCAGUACAAACAGACUCGCUUUGGCUUUUUCCCCAGGGGCAUUCGCACAAAAUGACAAGGAGCAGGUAGUGAUUCCCCUGCGAAGAAACUGCACGUGGUACUUGUUGUUCUCUGCACUGCUGGUGCCGACUACGCAGACUAUUGUGGGAAAUGGAACCUUGGUUACAGAAUAUCUAACUGCUGUUAAUUAAGGCAAUGUCACGCAUUUCAUUUGUUUUAUUAUGCAAUGUUUGUAUUUGGGUUUACAUUCCUUUCAAUGCAAAUUAGUCUGGCCUCCAUGGAGCGACUGGGCAUGAUCAAGUCUGGAUAAACUGACCAACCACCAUUUUCUUGGGAUAGUUUCAGCAGACUCCUGGGGUUCCAUUGUCCUGCUUGGACAGAGAUUUAGUCUGCUGAUGAUUCAGUGUUUGUUUGGGGGCACUGGACAACUCAUAGCAGGACAUCCAGCAUUUAGAUUCACAAGCUUACUUUUCAGGUGUGCACGCCAGUUGAUGUGUCCACCUUCACAUCCUUGUAGCAAAUUUCCAAAGUAGAUAGCAGCACUCCCAUGUAACAUUAAAAUCGCCUUUAUUUCAAGAUAUUCAUCUGGCACAGCAACGUUUUGGACCACCUGGUCCUUUUUCAAGCAGAGUCUGUCAGAGUGCUGCUAUCUACUUUGGAAAUUGGCACUGGACAACUCCCCAAGUGACAGGGCUGCACCUAUUUUUGUUUCCCCUUUAGAACCAGACCAGCAAAAUGCAAUUUGUUAGUGUGAAUGUGAGAACAAGCAGAUGGAUUAGAUAUUCCUUGUUAUGUGCUGUCCAGACAAAGGUUCGUUUUCAUAUUUCUAAAUAAAUGCACACUUGGAGCAACUAUAUGUGGGUGUUAGGGACCUGUUUGGGGCACAGAUACCUUUAAUGAAAGGCCACAAAAAACUUGAAUAAAUAUUCCCUUUAGCAUUUUA